rnacentral:lncRNA from 1 species
CGAGAGCCAAAGAAGACUCUGGGAAGUGUUCUGUGGCUCUACAUAAGCUUGAAAGGCAGUCUAGGACACGAGGACUGCAACACCUAGGGAAGUCCUAGGACUGAACUGAGCCCAGGCUUACCAAAAGGCUGAAGGCUAGAGUGAAAUGGGAAGACAGAAAACAACAGGAGGGAAAAGGAAAAUCAGAAGGCAUGAUGACAAGGCAGAGCUUUAUUUAU